rnacentral:rRNA from 1 species
AGAAUCAACGCUGGCGGCGUGCCUAACACAUGCAAGUCGCACGAGAAAGGGUAGCAAUACCUGAGUAAAGUGGCGCACGGGUGAGUAACACGUGAAUAAUCUACCUCCGAGUGGGGAAUAACUGAGAGAAAUCUUAGCUAAUACCGCAUAACACUUACGAGUCAAAGUAGCAAUGCGCUUGGAGAGGAGUUCGCGGCAGAUUAGUUAGUUGGCGGGGUAAUGGCCCACCAAGACGAUGAUCUGUA